UACGUAGGGUGCGAGCGUUAAUCGGAAUACUGGGCGUAAAGCGUGCGCAGGCGGUGAUGUAAGACAGAUGUGAAAUCCCCGGGCUCAACCUGGGACCUGCAUUUGUGACUGCAUCGCUAGAGUACGGCAGAGGGGGAUGGAAUUCCGCGUGUAGCAGUGAAAUGCGUAGAUAUGCGGAGGAACACCGAUGGCGAAGGCAAUCCCCUGGGCCUGUACUGACGCUCAUGCACGAAAGCGUGGGGAGCAAACAG
rnacentral:rRNA from 1 species